rnacentral:rRNA from 1 species
UACAGAGGUGGCAAGCGUUGUUCGGAAUUACUGGGCGUAAAGGGCGCGUAGGCGGCCUUCUAAGUCAGACGUGAAAUCCCCCGGCUUAACCUGGGAACUGCGUCUGAUACUGGGAGGCUCGAGUAUGGGAGAGGGAUGUAGAAUUCCAGGUGUAGCGGUGAAAUGCGUAGAGAUCGGAAGGAACGGCAAUGGCGAAGGCAGCCACCUGGCAUAAUACUGACGCUGAGGCACGAAAGCGUGGGGAGCGAACAGG